rnacentral:lncRNA from 1 species
AAUUUUUUAAGCUAAUAGACAUAAAGGCUAAAUAUUAAAACCCUAGCCCAAAUUUCUUUCUCUUAGUCUCUUACGGCUCAUCUCUCUCGGACUCUCCUUGGUCCUCUCUUAGUCUUGCUCGAUAAUCAGAGAAAAUUAGAAUAUCUUUCAAUUGUGAAGGUCAUUAUUCUGUGGUUUAUCAAGGAUUGUGAGUCCUUUUUCCUCUCUUAAUUCUACUUCUCACUGUAGCUCCAUUUUCUGGUUCUAGUUAUUUUGAAUUAAGUUUUUGGGCUUUAUCUAUGUUGUGGAAUUCCUAUUUCAUUUUGGUCUAAACUUUGCAUUUUCAAUUUUUCUAUGAGAAAUUUUAUCAAACACAUUAUGGGCAUUAGUGAUAAAGACCUAUAUUUCUUGCUCUUUAAGUCUAUGUAGAGAAGGCCAAAGGUAAAUAUGAUUCCAAGUAGACCAUUUGUGUAAAGCCAAUGGAAUUGUGUAUUUCUCUGAACUUGGGUCAUCGGAAUUAGGAAUGUGAAACUCGUUCACUAAUCCAACAUGUUUCUGUUCAUUGCAGCGGCAUUCUGACGGUGCUGCUGUCUUAUGAUCUAACGGUUUUAAUUACCAUUGGGUUCUAUUCCAUCUGAGUCUUUGUGUCCAACAAACAUCUUUUAGUCAUACUAAACUUUGAAAAUGUCUUGACUGAUAUAAAAUCAUCUAUUUAUGAUAUUAUCGACUCAUUUCUUGGAAGUCAGUUUUUUUCCUCUGCUUGACAACUUUCAAACAAUUCUGCACAUGCUCAUAAUCUAUUUCCUGACAGCUUAGAAGCAUGUUUAACCUCAUUUGUUUUAUUACAUUUCAUUUUCAGCAUAUUACUAUUUUAUAAGUGUUGUUUGUGUAGCUUUAGUCUCUUUUAUACCAUAGAAUGUCUCAAUCUUAUUAGACCAUCCUUCAUGCAUCUAACAAGUUUGUGUGAGAAACCAAAUGAACCUCUUGGGACUAAUAUCAAGAAUAAAAUGUUUCGAAGCUUGUUCUUUAUUCCUUCUUUGGAUUCUUUCAUAUUGCCUUGUUUCUGUCAUAAAUUGCUUUGGGCGCAUAUAUAGUUUCUGUCAUAAAUUGCUUAAUUGACUCCUUUUAUUUUCCAUGUGCACUUAGAAAUAUCCCAUAAUAAUAUUAUAGCUUAUUUUUUGUAGAAAAUUAUGGAGUCUCAAAAUUAAGAGAAUCUGGUUGGUUCAUCUUCAAGUACUUUUCCUAUAGAGAGUGAGAGUCAAUUGCCUAUGCAAGUCGAUGAAGUUACUACUGAAGUUAUUGAUAAAACUGGGAAAAGAAACUUAUUUCUGACACAUGGAAUCAUUUUAAACUGGUGAUGGUUAAUCGUUUUUGUUUUGGUGUUUGUAAGUAUUGUAAAACUCAUAUCAAAUCAACAAGAAAUUGUGGGACAUCGUCCAUGUUAGAUCAUAUUCAUAGUCGAUGUCGCAAAAAGCCAAGUAAUUUAGACACUGAGGGUAGUUCGGGGUUGAUGGUAGCUAACGACACUAUUUUGAUCAAGAUGUUUCACGCAGAGAACUUGCUUAUGCUAUCAUUUUGCACGAGUAUCCAUUGUCCAUUGUUGAUCAUGUAGGAUUUAGGAAGUUUGUUUCUAGUCUCCAACCGUUGUUCAAAAUGGUGUCUAGGAACACAAUCAAGAAUGAUAUACUGAAGAUUUUUGACAAUUUGAAAUAAAAAACUUCUAUGUUAUUGAAAAAACUCACAAGUAAAAUUGCAAUAACAACUGAUAUGUGGACUUCGGACAAUACCAAAAAGGGUUCAUGGCUAUUACAACACAUUUUAUUGAUGAUUCAUAGAGUCUUCAAAGCCAUAUUCUUAGAUUUGUUUAUGUUCAUGCUCCACAUGAUAAGGAUACAUUGUGUAGUGCGUUGCUUAAUUGCUUGUUAGAGUGGAAUCUUGAAAGAAGAAUUUCAACAAUUACAGUUGAUAAUUGUAGCACAAACAAUGCUAUGAUGAAAACCUUGCUAGAUGAGAAACUUUGUAAAAGGGAUUUAUUGUUGAUGGGUCGAAUGUUACAUGUGUGAUGUGCCACACAUAUAUUGAAUUUUAUUGUGCAAGAAGGACUAAAGGUGAUACAAGAUAGUAUUAAUAAUGUGCGUGACAUUUUCUUAUAUUGGAUAGAGUCUUCAGGAAGAAUCGAAAGGUUUUCAAAUGCUGCACGAUUGCUAUAUAUUUCUUGUAACAAAAACUUAGAGUAUAUUUCCCUACUCGGUGGAACUCAACAUAUCUAAUGUUGAGAACAACCCUAGAAACAAAUAUGUGUUUAUGAAGUUAAGCCUAAGUGACCGUAUUUAUCAUUGUUUUCAACCCGAAGGGCAAUGGAGUGCAGCAAAAGAAGUUUGUGAUAAAUUAAAGCUUUCCUACCAUAUCACUGAAGAAUUCUCAAGGACUCAAUAUCCCACUUCUACUCAAUACUUUUCUAAAGUUUGUGAUAUUACGCUAGAAUUCGAAGCCUGGUGAAAAGUUUAAAUCCUUUGAUUAGCUCUAUGGCAUCAUCAAUGUUGUUUAAAUUUAAGAAAUAUUGGGAUGAAGUGCAUAUUUUGAUGGGUGUAGCUGCUAUCUUUUAUCCAAGGUAUAAGAUGAGGUUGGUAGAGUUUUAUCUCACAUAUUUAUGGUGGAGAAGCUGCUUCAAACAAAAUUCAAGAAGUUCGAAACUAUUGUGUUGAUCUCUUUCAAGAAUAUAAGAGUCGAGGAGUUGAGUCAUCCCAAGCAUUUAGUUCUAGUGAAGUUGUUGGUCAUGUUGAGGGUGACCGACUGUCUAGUUUUGAUAGGUUUGUUGCGUUGAGUAGCUUGAACGUGGACACAAGAUCGGAAUUGGAUUCUUAUUUAGAAGACAAUGUGCUACCCCGCACACCAUCAUUUGACACUUUAAGUUGGUGGAAGAUAAACGGAUUAAAAUUUCCUACUUUACAAAAAAUGGCUCGUGACCUCUUAGCUAUUCCUGUCUCUACCGUUGCUUCAGAAUCUGCAUUUAGUACUAGUGGGAGAUUGAUUAGUUCGCAUCGUAGUAGACUUCAUCCUUCUACUUUGGAGGCUUUAGUGUGUCCUCGCACUUGAUUUUGGAAAGAAAUAAAUGGUAAGUGAUUUUUUCAAUGACUUAUAAUGUUAAUAGCGAUUUUCAAUUUUAAUACUAUAUAUGUUUCUUUUUAGGGUUGGCUUCAAUGGUCGACAAAGUUUCAUAUCCAACAUUACUUGAUGAAGAGGAAGAGCCGGAUUCAAGUGGUCGAGAAAAGAGGAAGAGAAUGUCAUUUGUUGAUUUUGUUGAGUAUAGACCAUUAGACCUUGCUGAUAGCUUUGUAGUUUGUUAAAGCUACUGCUCCUAUGCUUUUUGAGAUGUGUUUUUUCUUCAACACUAUGUUCUAUGGUCCAGCGUUGUUGGUUCUGGCAUUGAGUUCUGAUUCAGUAUCCAUUGCUUCAGUAUCUCCUUCAUUCUGCAGCAGAAUGUUUGCUCCUUGCUUUUAUUGCAAUCUUUGAUGCUUGAUUGAAUACAGAAAUUGAAAUCCCACAGUAGCCUGCUCAAUGGGACCGAUGUCGACAAAUGUAAAGUUUAUUCUAAUGUUUCUAAACCUGUUUUGCUUAAUGUUCAGCCCAGUUAUGCUUUGCUUUUUCCUGGUUUUAUUGUGGUGGAGAUGCCUUGAUGCCAUUUAUGUUAAGUAUAAGGGGGAAUGACCUACUAUAAGACAGACCAACUAAUGGCUUUUAUGGUAUCAUGAGUUGGAGCUUGCUGUGUUUUUGUUUCUUUAUUGAACUUUUGUAUUCAGUGUUAUAAUUUCACCCAUGUGGGAUGAUUGCAUUAUAGGUUUGUUUACCUUGAAAAUGGUAAUUAAAAUUAUAUUUGAUUUUGUAGUUCUAAAAA